rnacentral:tRNA from 1 species
ACUUUCAAAGGAUAAUAGCAAUCCAAUGGUCUUAGGAACCAUCUAUCUUGGUGCAAGUCCAAGUGAAAGUA